UCGUCAUACAAGUGAACACGAGGUUAUGUUGGUAGGGACAUCUGAAAUACUGAUGAGUGCCAACUUUUCUGACAUGUUCGA